rnacentral:rRNA from 1 species
GAUGAACGCUGGCGGCGUGCCUAAUACAUGCAAGUCGAGCGAACAGACGAGGAGCUUGCUCCUCUGACGUUAGCGGCGGACGGGUGAGUAACACGUGGAUAACCUACCUAUAAGACUGGGAUAACUUCGGGAAACCGGAGCUAAUACCGGAUAAUAUAUUGAACCGCAUGGUUCAAUAGUGAAAGACGGUUUUGCUGUCACUUAUAGAUGGAUCCGCGCCGCAUUAGCUAGUUGGUAAGGUAACGGCUUACCAAGGCAACGAUGCGUAGCCGACCUGAGAGGGUGAUCGGCCACACUGGAACUGAGACACGGUCCAGACUCCUACGGGAGGCAGCAGUAGGGAAUCUUCCGCAAUGGGCGAAAGCCUGACGGAGCAACGCCGCGUGAGUGAUGAAGGUCUUCGGAUCGUAAAACUCUGUUAUUAGGGAAGAACAAAUGUGUAAGUAACUAUGCACGUCUUGACGGUUCCUAAUCAGAAAGCCACGGCUAACUACGUG